GACGAACCGAGCGAACGUUGUUCGGAAUCACUGGGCUUAAAGGGCGCGUAGGCGGCAUACCAAGUCAGGGGUGAAAAUUUGCGGCUUAACCGUAACAGUGCCUUUGAUACUGGUAGGCUAGAGCGAGAUAGGGGUCUACGGAACUUCUGGUGGAGCGGUGAAAUGCGUUGAUAUCAGAAGGAACGCCGGUGGAGAAAGCGGUAGACUGGAUCUCUUCUGACGAAGAGGCGCGAAAGCUAGGGGAGCAAACAGG
rnacentral:rRNA from 1 species